rnacentral:piRNA from 7 species
GGUCGGGGUUUCGUACGUAGCAGAGC